AAACAAAGUCAAGAACUUCCUCAGGCAUAAAAAGGUAUAAUGACUAUAACCCAGACGUUUCGCCGGUUAAGGCUUCUUCAGUGGGUGAAAAAUUUACAACAAUAUUAAGGCGUCUUUUAUAGGACGACAUGUAUAAAAGACGCCUUAAUAUUGUUGUAAAUUUUUUACCCACUGAAGAAGCCUUAACCGGCGAAACGUCUGGGUUAUAGUCAUUAUACCUUUUUAUGCCUGAGGAAGUUCUUGUUUUAUUUU